UUAUAUUAUAAUAUGAGGGUGUUUGGGGUUCCUUUUUUUUGAGGAAAAAAGGACUUUUGAAGGGAAAAAAGGACUUUUGAGGGUGUUUGGCUUUCCUUUUGAAGGCAAAAGUCCUUUGCAAAAGCUAGAAGUCAGGUUUUUCUGACUUAUUUUUUUCAAAAGAACUUUUGGAAAAGUUGAAAAUAAGUUAAGCCAAACAUG